UGAAAGUCGAUGGUUGAUCAUGCUGACCACCUUUAAUUUAAUGGGGAAAGAUUAACCAAUAUCUGCAGCUGGACAGGCUGUCACUACAGUUCAAUGAUUUAGGUAAGACAUCAGCUUUUGAAGUUGCUUUCUUGGCACAUCAUGCUGUCCAGUGGAGUUCAUACCAUAUGCCAGGCCUUUAUACAUGGUCAAAGAAGAUGAAUUUGUUAUUCAAUUUGUGAAAUUUGAUUUAAGGAGGACUUUCAUAUAUGAUGAUUAUAUUCAGCAGAUUAUCUUCAAGUGUGCACUUUAUAGAAUCACAGUUUCUAGGAGGUUUUCAGUUUAAAGUUAGAUUAAUUGAAAAAUAAUGAAAAGUACAUUGUUAGAACUUCAAAUAUGCAACAUAAAGGUGAAUAUAGGUAAAUUCAUAAAUUCUCACCAGAGGGUGUGUGGGUUAGUGGCUUUGAGUUGUGCAAAUUCAGUACAUAGAUCUAUAAUUUUAAUCGGCUGAGAAUUUCUUCCCUAUAAUGAUGGAUAAGUCUUUAAUAUUGAAAUAAAUUUGCAUCUGUGCUUCUAUGGCAUUACUAGGAAAGACACGUUAUUAUACAUUCUACAUUGUAACAGUUGGUGUUUAGAUCCUAUAAUUGUAAAACAUAAAAUAAAUGUUGAAAGUUUCAUAAAA
rnacentral:lncRNA from 1 species